CAAACAAAAAAACAAAAAAAACAAACAUGAUCCUAUCUGAGCUUGAUCACCUUACAUACUAGCAUGUUUGUAUUAUUGAGUGGUUUGAGCUAAAGCACAAUUCAGAUGUUAUUCAGUCAGUGUGGGACAACAAAGAGAUCUUAUCUAGCUUUGAUCUGAGAGACAGCAGAUCUGCACUCUCUCAGAUGCAACUCAUGGCUGAACGACAAACACAGUCAACAAAUUAUAAGAGCAUGACCACAUCGGUAACCCAACAGGAAAUUCAGCUUUCUAAAGAUGAGCAGCGUUAACUUCCUCUGACCAGAGUGCAGAUGCUGUUCUACAUUUAUGUUUGGAGCAACAAGAACAAGCGUCUCACGCUGCUGGCUGAACUGCGCUGCUCAAGAGCUGCUCCUGGCUGCCUAUUGUGGGUGAUGGACCACUCUCAUCCUAGCAGUGACCCUGACGUGUUUAAACCCAGAGGAACCCUGCUGUUCUACACUUGGUCCAGCACCACAGAACUUGCCCUGAUCAUGAUCAUGAACAGUGUGUGAACUGCUGCAGGCGGCCUAUUUUGGGUGAUGGAAAACUCUCGGUGACACCACUCUACGAUAAACUUGUAUCAGCACCACAGAACAUGCCCUGAUUACCCAAAUGGCAGGUGUUAUAUUUAAUAUUUUUAAUACAUUUGCGUCAUACACUGGGCAGCCAUUUUUAGGGACUUUUAUUUUGCAUUUCCACUCUCUUAGCUUUCUAAUAGCUAUAUAGUUUAAUUAAUGGGAUUAUUGUUGUAUUUAUUUAUAAUUUAGAAUUGUGCUACUCAUUUAGAGUUUUUAGUGUUUUCAAAAUUCGAUUUUGGCUAAAUGGCUCUGAAUCUGCUAUGUGUGACAUGAAACAAUGACUUAUUUGAAUUGAGCCUUAAUGUCACUCUGUAAUA